rnacentral:misc_RNA from 1 species
UCAAAACAGCGGCCUUCGGGCCUCGCUGCACCCUUGUCUUUUGCGCACCGUAUUGUUUCCUCGGCGGGCUUGCCUGCCGGUUGGACAUCAAAAAACCUUUUUGUAGUUGCAAUCAGCGUCAGAAAAACAAUAAUUAUUA